UGCCAGCCGCCGCGGUAAUACGGAGGGUGCAAGCGUUGUUCGGAAUUAUUGGGCGUAAAGCGCACGUAGGCGGAUUAGUAAGUUAGGGGUGAAAUCCCGGGGCUCAACCCCGGAACUGCCUCUAAUACUGCUAGUCUUGAGUUCGAGAGAGGUGAGUGGAACUCCUAGUGGAGCGGUGAAAUGCGUUGAUAUUAGGAGGAACGCCGGUGGCGAAAGCGACUCUCUGGUCUGAUACUGACGCUGAGGUGCGAAAGCUAGGGGAGCAAACGGGAUUAGAUA
rnacentral:rRNA from 1 species